rnacentral:tRNA from 7 species
GUUGGGAUAGCUCAGUUGGUAGAGCAGAGGACUGAAAAUCCUCGUG